CCUAUCUCAGCUAUGUCACUA
rnacentral:miRNA from 1 species